AGGGUUUGAUUCUGGCUUCGGAUGAACGCUAGCGAUUAGGUUUACCCCAUGCAAGUGGAGGGGCAGCGAAAAGAUUAGCUUGGUAAUUUGGGGGCGACCGCGGAUGGGUGAGUAACACGUAUCCAACCUACCUUUAACACGGGCAUAACCCGGAGAAAUCCGGACUAAUUCCCGAUAAUACAGGGGCUCCGCAUGGAGAUAUUUGUUAAAGAUUUAUUGGUUAAAGAUGGGCAUGCGCUCCAUUAGUUAGUUGGUGAGGUAACGGCUCACCAAGGCAUCGAUGGAUAGGGGAACUGAGAGGUUUAUCCCCCACACUGGGACUGAGACACGGCCCAGACUCCUACGGGAGGCAGCAGUGAGGAAUAUUGGUCAAUGAGGGCAACCUUGAACCAGCCAAGUCGCGUGAAGGAUGACUGUCCUAAGGAUUGUAAACUUCUUUUUUAAGGGAAUAAAGUGAGCCACGUGUGGCUUUUUGCAUGUACCUUACGAAUAAGGAUCGGCUAACUCCGUGCCAGCAGCCGCGGUAAUACGGAGGAUCCGAGCGUUAUCCGGAUUUAUUGGGUUUAAAGGGUGCGCAGGCGGAAUAUUAAGUCGGCGGUGAAAGUUUGCAGCUUAACUGUAAAAUUGCCGUUGAUACUGGUAUUCUUGAGUGUAUAUGAAGUAGGCGGAAUUUGUAGUGUAGCGGUGAAAUGCAUAGAUAUUACAAGGAACUCCAAUUGCGAAGGCAGCUUACUAAAUUACAACUGACGCUUAGGCACGAAGGCGUGGGUAUCAAACAGGAUUAGAUACCCUGGUAGUCCACGCAGUAAACGAUGAUUACUCGCUGUUUGCGAUACACAGUAAGCGGCUUAGCGAAAGCGUUAA
rnacentral:rRNA from 1 species